CUUUCAAUCUUUCUUUUUUCCUGGACUUGUAGUUCCCAUCACAUUGGAAGCUGCCAAGGUUCCCAUAGUGAUAAGGUCCACAUCUUGUUCCUGUGCUGCAGGGAGAGCCCUUUGGAACCACUUGGUGGGGCUUCUUUAUCUAAGUGCCCGUUUCAGCACCUCGAACUACAAGAUUGUGCCAUUACAUGUGUCUUGCACUGACAGACUGCAGACCUGGCACAGGCCUCGGACCCAGGGCCCCUUCCUGACCCGGGUGUGAUGUCUGUUGGAGAGAAAUUGAAAGACAUUCAGCCACAGCUGGGGAUCUGUAAGAUUCUUCAUGGACUUGAGGAACUCACCAUGGUGGAGUCCAAAUUUGGUCUUGUGCCCUUUGGAUCAGUUCUAUCAUACCAGUGCCCCCUAGAGAGCGUGCCCUGGUGGGGAAAGUGGACGCGGGGAAGAUCAAGCACAAGUGGGAGAACCUCAAACAAAAAUACAAGGGUGGUCCCAGUGGUCAUCACCCUGGUCAUGGAAGGCCCCCUCCUCCACCUCUGGCUCCACCAAAUCCCCAUUGUUGAUGGAGAGGUUGUGGAGGAAGACACAGGUCGACACCACUGCAGGAACAAAGGGCCUUGAGGAAGAUGCUGCGCCACCGCGUCUUCAUCAUGCCAAUCGCCCUUUCCACCACACACCGUGCUUUGGCAUGAUGCCGGUU